UCAAGUUCUGGGACUCACUCGCUGGGUGUCCCUGACCGUGUCCCUCGGCAUCUCUGAAGACACCAGAAAGUAGAGAGCAAUUAGUCUGUGCCUCCUUCUGUGGAGGCAGAAUUCAGAGGGGAAAUGGAGGUGCCUCCAGCUUGCCAGACAUCACACUGCAGCAGCGAGUCCAUGCUGAGGAUCGGCAGCACAAGCCUGGCUCCUCUCAAUUCCAACAAGAAGGGAAAACCGUCAACUCCAGAGCUGUUCUCCGAGAUGCUUAUUCAGUUACCAAUAACAACCGUUGCCAUGGAAACCGACCGUCCAGCCAGCCAGCCUGGAAUUAUUCUCAGGCCAGAGCCAGAUUAGUCAUCUCCAAACCAAAAAGACUGCCUGAGCCCCAGCUGCCCCCAGUCACCCAGCUGAGGUUGAGGGGAAGGGUCCUACCUCUUCCUUCCAUGUUCUUCCUGUCAUGAGGUCCCACUAUUUGAAAGUUGACUGAGACAUGAAACAAAGCCUAAUGGAUUGCACAGUUUCAGAUUCUUCAUAAAGUCAGAAGACAGCAGCCUGUGUCAGAUAGGCUGAUAUCACAGAAUGGGAGGAUCCAGCAUAGUAACCCGGCUGCAACAGCCUGUGGAUCCAGGACUGCUUUGGAGAUUCGAUGGGCUUCAGCAUCUUUGAGGGUCAAUGGAGCAGAUUCUUCCAGAGGAGUCUGGAAUGGAUCCCCACAGAACACAGACACGCGGGAUGCUAUCCCCACCCGGAGCUCCUGAAGAGACAGCAGCUUCUCUGUGCUGAAGAAGAAGGGAGAGCAAAUGCAGGUAUUUUUAGAAAGUCUUCAGGAGCGAGAGCUGAAGAGAGGAGGUGAAAGUUCCCCCCACCUUGUGAGCUCUCCAAACCAAAGCACAGAACAUCUACAGAGAAGGCGGCACAAGAAUGUAUCUGACAGCUCCGUCCAUAACAGCCCUGACAGGGCUGUGCCUCCCCAAAUGUCCAUCGGCACUGGGGUGUGUCUCCAAAGCACUCUGCUGUUCCAAAGGUGAUUGAGCUGAGGAGCUGAGGCAGGAGGAUCAUCUGGGUUUCAACUCAACCAACACCCUUUGCCACAAACUGUUGCAGUGUGCUGCUGCUGAGUGAGGCAGAGCAGUCACUGUGCCUGGCCCCAGCCCUGGCCCAGUCUGACAACGGAGACAACACAGAGCACUUGUGGAAAUGUGGCUAACACUGACAACACAGAUAAGCUGGCUAUCUUGGGUAGGCUUCUCCUGCUGUGACAAAACACCACGACCAAAAGCAACUCAGGAAGGAAGGAGUGUUUUGUUUGGUUGGUUUUUGAUUUUUGGUUUUAGUUCAUAUUUCUAGGUAACAGUCCAUCACAGAGGGAAGUCAGAGCAGGAACUCAAGGCAGGAACCUAGAGGCAGGAACUGAAGCCAAAGAAACCAUGAAGGCAUGCUGCUUAUUGGCUUGCUCCUCAUGUCUUGCUCGGCCUGAUUUCUUACAGCACCUGAAACUACCAACCAAGGGUGGCACCACCUAAAGCAAGCUUGGUCUUGUCACAUGAAUCACUGAUUAAGGAAAUGCCCUGCCAGCUUGCCUACAGCAAGAUCUUGUUUUUGUUUUUUGUUUUUGUUUUUUUCUAGGAAUUUUUUUCCUUUUAUUUUAUUUUAUAAUACCAUUCAGUUCUACAUAUCAGCCACGGGUUCCCUUGUUCUCCCCCUUCCUGCCCCCCUCCU